GCACAAUUUGUGGCAGCUAAAUUUGGAACAGUACAGAGAAGAUAAGUAUCUUCGCUGUGCAAGAAUGACAUGCAGGUUUGUGAAGUGUUCCAUGUUUUU
rnacentral:snRNA from 1 species